rnacentral:rRNA from 1 species
GAACGGGUGAGUAACACGUGGGUAAUCUGCCCUGCACUUCGGGAUAAGCCUGGGAAACUGGGUCUAAUACCGAAUAGGACCAUUUAGCGCAUGCUUUAUGGUGGAAAGCUUUUGCGGUGUGGGAUGGGCCCGCGGCCUAUCAGCUUGUUGGUGGGGUGACGGCCUACCAAGGCGACGACGGGUAGCCGGCCUGAGAGGGUGUCCGGCCACACUGGGACUGAGAUACGGCCCAGACUCCUACGGGAGGCAGCAGUGGGGAAUAUUGCACAAUGGGCGCAAGCCUGAUGCAGCGACGCCGCGUGGGGGAUGACGGCCUUCGGGUUGUAAACCUCUUUCAGCAGGGACGAAGCGCAAGUGACGGUACCUGCAGAAGAAGCACCGGCCAACUACGUGCCAGCAGCCGCGGUAAUACGUAGGGUGCGAGCGUUGUCCGGAAUUACUGGGCGUAAAGAGCUCGUAGGUGGUUUGUCGCGUUGUUCGUGAAAACCGGGGGCUUAACCCUCGGCGUGCGGGCGAUACGGGCAGACUGGAGUACUGCAGGGGAGACUGGAAUUCCUGGUGUAGCGGUGGAAUGCGCAGAUAUCAGGAGGAACACCGGUGGCGAAGGCGGGUCUCUGGGCAGUAACUGACGCUGAG